rnacentral:rRNA from 1 species
GAUGAACGCUGGCGGCGUGCCUAAUACAUGCAAGUCGAGCGAACGGACGAGAAGCUUGCUUCUCUGAUGUUAGCGGCGGACGGGUGAGUAACACGUGGAUAACCUACCUAUAAGACUGGGAUAACUUCGGGAAACCGUAGCUAAUACCGGAUAAUAUUUUGAACCGCAUGGUUCAAAAGUGAAAGACGGUCUUGCUGUCACUUAUAGAUGGAUCCGCGCUGCAUUAGCUAGUUGGUAAGGUAACGGCUUACCAAGGCAACGAUGCAUAGCCGACCUGAGAGGGUGAUCGGCCACACGGGAACUGAGACACGGUCCAGACUCCUACGGGAGGCAGCAGUAGGGAAUCUUCCGCAAUGGGCGAGAGCCUGACGGAGCAACGCCGCGUGAGUGAUGAAGGUCUUCGGAUCGUAAAGCUCUGUUAUUAGGGAAGAACAUAUGUGUAAGUAACUGUGCACAUCUUGACGGUACCUAAUCAGAAAGCCACGGCUAACUACGUG